rnacentral:sRNA from 1 species
GAAAUAUUUACAAUUUAGCGGAAAAAAAGGAAAAAAAAA